UACGGAGGGUGCAAGCGUUAUCCGGAUUCACUGGGUUUAAAGGGUGCGUAGGCGGGCAGGUAAGUCAGUGGUGAAAUCCCCGAGCUUAACUUGGGAACUGCCGUUGAUACUAUCUGUCUUGAAUACUAUGGAGGUAAGCGGAAUAUGUCAUGUAGCGGUGAAAUGCGUAGAUAUCGUAAGGAAGACCAGUGGCGAAGGCGGGUCUCUGGACAGUUCCUGACGCUGAGGCACGAAGGUCAGGGGAGCAAACGGG
rnacentral:rRNA from 1 species